AACGAACGCUGGCGGCAUGCCUAACACAUGCAAGUCGAACGAAGCCUUCGGGCUUAGUGGCGCACGGGUGCGUAACGCGUGGGAAUCUGCCCUUGGGUUCGGAAUAACCGUUAGAAAUGACUGCUAAUACCGGAUGAUGUCUUCGGACCAAAGAUUUAUCGCCCAAGGAUGAGCCCGCGUAGGAUUAGGUAGUUGGUGGGGUAAUGGCCCACCAAGCCGACGAUCCUUAGCUGGUCCGAGAGGAUGAUCAGCCACACUGGGACUGAGACACGGCCCAGACUCCUACGGGAGGCAGCAGUGGGGAAUAUUGGACAAUGGGCGAAAGCCUGAUCCAGCAAUGCCGCGUGAGUGAUGAAGGCCUUAGGGUUGUAAAGCUCUUUUACCAGGGAUGAUAAUGACAGUACCUGGAGAAUAAGCUCCGGCUAACUCCGUGCCAGCCGCCGCAGUAAAAC
rnacentral:rRNA from 1 species